AGUGAACGCUGGCGGUAGGCCUAACACAUGCCAGUCGAACGGCAGCACAGUAAGAGCUUGCUCUUACGGGUGGCGAGUGGCGGACGGGUGAGGAAUACAUCGGAAUCUACUUUUUCGUGGGGGAUAACGUAGGGAAACUUACGCUAAUACCGCAUACGACCUACGGGUGAAAGCAGGGGAUCUUCGGACCUUGCGCGAUUGAAUGAGCCGAUGUCGGAUUAGCUAGUUGGCGGGGUAAAGGCCCACCAAGGCGACGAUCCGUAGCUGGUCUGAGAGGAUGAUCAGCCACACUGGAACUGAGACACGGUCCAGACUCCUACGGGAGGCAGCAGUGGGGAAUAUUGGACAAUGGGCGCAAGCCUGCUCCAGCCAUACCGCGUGGGUGAAGAAGGCCUUCGGGUUGUAAAGCCCUUUUGUUGGGAAAGAAAAGCAGCAGGUUAAUACCCCGCUGUUCUGACGGUACCCAAAGAAUAAGCACCGGCUAACUUCGUG
rnacentral:rRNA from 1 species